rnacentral:rRNA from 1 species
GGUAAUGUGGCCCAGCCGAGCCGUGGCCUGUGGGUUAUCCAUCCACAUAAGAAGAGGAGAGAAAAAGGCAUGACGGCUAGACCUAGAUCGCACUCCCCAUCCCCAUCCCGCCGCCGCCGCCGCCGCUCAUCCAACAACGCCAGCUUCAAUUAGUCCGACGGAAUAAGUUCUGUUGCAGGAGUUGGGAGAAUCAAAAUGAAGGCGCGGCAGUUCUUGAAUGUGGUGAUGCAGAGGUCUGGCAGUGGCAGCUUGUACACGGUGAGCCGCAUCAAGGCCGGGGAGCAACUCUUCUACCGGUCCACGGCGGAAGCACGGGCGGCGGCAGCAGCAGCGCAACCCAAGGAGGGGAAUACGACGCUGCCAUCAUCAGCCGUGGCGCCACCAUGGACGGAGAACAUCUCGCGGAUGCCUCCGCCCAGGCUCAGAUUGGAAGCAUACCGCUUAGACGGCCCAAGGCUCGAUUUUUUGCCCUUCUACGGACAAGGCAGGGGCGAUGGUAAGAUCCUCUCAAUGGACUCGGCGGGCAACACCGUCCUCUGCAACGCCGUCAGCGGCUCCAUCCAGCCCGUUCCCUGCCUUAACGAACCCAAGGGGGACAGCCCCGUCUCCUUGUCUAUCACUCGUGCGGACACCUCCCAUCAAGCCUUGUACGUUAUGGACAGGUUUCCCGCAGCUCGCAAUGCUUUCAUCUUCGAAGCCCUCAUCUACGGCAAGAAUAGCUGGGAGUGGCACCGGCUCCCUCGGCCGCCCUACGUCAACAACCCAGCCUAUAACUGCACAGCCAUCCAGUCCUACAUGUUGCUUGGUGAUGGCUCGACCAUCUGCAUAUCCUCCGCUGGGCCAAGCUCCAUCGGCACCUACUGCUUUGAUACGGUUAGCUGCACCUGGGAAAAGGUUGGCCGCUGGACCCUGCCAUUCCAUGGACAGGCUGAGCAUGUCCCUGAGCUUUGCAAUCUCUGGUUCGGCAUGGCCGGCAACAGCGCCAACAACUUGUGCACGCUGGACCUCUCCAACCUUGGCAGGGCUCCCAAGUUGCUGCAUAACUGGCAGGUCCUCGACACGCCUCAUGGAUGGGUGCAGAUAAGGGGUAGCCUGCUGUACCUUGGAGCCGGCAGGUUUUGCAUCUUCAAAAGUUUUGACACCGGGGAGCAAGACGCUCAGGGUAAUCCCAGCAACACAGCGGCUGUGCUUACCGGUGUGGAGGUAGUCCACAGAGGAUCAUCUGAACUCCAAAUGAUCAAGCACAAGUCAUUUAUCAGCUAUGCCGGCAUCCAGUGUGUUCUUUAAGUCACCAAGGCUUCGGUUAAUCCUCUGCCCAAGGUGAUGGGAGGGGAUUUAGUGGGGUUUUGGCUUGCGGAUUUCAUUCCGCUCAACCCCUUGCAAUCUCCAGCAAACUGAACCGAACAAGCCCUAAAGUUUAAGGGAUAAAAUAAGCUGUCAGCCUGUCCCUUUCUACUUUGCAGCAGCCAGAUCAACAUGGAUGUAACUUGUGCAUUCCUUCCUAUAUGUAUUACUCUUCCAAGUUUAUAAACUAGUAAAGUUGCCUGGCGGGCGACAUGUUUAAACAAUGAAUUAUUAUUCCUCUAUUAUCUCUAGAACUUUGUUGAAGUAUUUGUUGAGAAGCAUUCAAAGAUAUGUUAAAUCUGCUUGUCAGAGAAAAGAAGAUAUGAAAAUAUUUUUUUUGGCUCUUGUUCCUUUUACUAAUUUUACUUGCGUACUAACUCCUCAGAUCAUCAGGGCACUCUCUAGCGUCUCUUUGUUUUCUCUAUGAGAGAUGCAGUUCCAUGCAGCCUGCUAACAGUAGGGAAUCACAACGAAGCGAAUUGGUUGUCAGCAGAUAGGGCACGCCACUGGCGCCACCCCUGGUCCCCGCACCCCCCCGUAACUUGCUCGUCCCGGUGUGUGCUGCCUUUCUAUCUCCCUAGGCACCACCCCUGCUCCCUGCUCUAAGAAGCCGGCGGAGAAGGAGGACAAGAAUCCGGCGUGGGUUAGAUGAGGAGGAUAAGAAUCCGGCGAGAAAGGAGGUGAAAGUACAUGCCUGAUCCUCUCUCCCACCUAUGGUUAGAGAUUGCGCAUUAUUAGAAUGAAUUGAGGAUGAAGUAUUUUCGUUUGAUACUGCCUUCUGAUUCAAUGUGUUGUGUUCAGUUCUUUCCAAGUAGUGUUGAUUCUUCAAUGAAGUCACUGGGGUAUUUUGAUAACUAAAUAAAAACUAGCCACUCUCUUAGAAACAUCAGGAUCAAAUGAAAUGUCCUAGCCUGUUCUGUACUGGACCAGCGACUAAUUUGUAAAGCUUCUACAUAUGCUUGUGUACUAUUACCUCCGUUUGGAAACACAUGACGUGGUUUUAGUUCAAAUUUGAACUAAAACCAUGUCAUGUUUCAUGCGCGAUGACCCUAUUUUCUGCAGAUUCAAACAAGUGGCAGAUUCAAACAUGCGCGAUGGAGAACCAAGCAGAAGCAGAUUCAAACAA